GCAGGGAUGAUGGCAUCAUAGAUUAUCGGUGUGGUGAAUCCCCCUAUGCGGCGGGGCGAAACGACCAGAUUAAUCAUGUUGUGAGUCAAUUAACGAUGCGAGCCCCUGGUGGUCGACCAAAGGCUCACCGGGAGGCACCCGGCGCCACACAGCAGGUGUAGGUUUCAAUCUACCGAUGCUUUAGUC
rnacentral:sRNA from 1 species